rnacentral:misc_RNA from 1 species
GCUUUGCUGAUCUCACUCAUCACGAGUUCAAGGCUUCUCGUUUGGGUCUCUCUGCUGCUUCAGCCUCUGUGAAUCUUGACCAUGACGGGCCAAAUCUACGAAUGCCUGAUUUUGUUGGCGGUUCCUGAUUCAAUUGAUUGGAGAGAGAAAGGGGCUGUGACUCAGGUCAAGGAUCAAGGGGGCUGUGGUGCUUGUUGGUCUUUCUCAGCCACAGGAGCUAUUGAAGGCAUAAAUAAGAUCUUUUCUGGAUCUCUUGUUAGCCUCUCUGAACAAGAGUUAGUUGAUUGCGACAAAUCUUACAAUAAUGGUUGCGAGGGAGGGCUCAUGGACUAUGCAUUCCAAUUUGUCAUAAACAACAAUGGGAUUGACACAGAGGAAGAUUAUGCAUACCUAGGACGCGAAAGGUCCUGCAAUAAAGAAAAGUUAAGAAGGCGUGUUGUGACCAUUGAUGGAUACACUGAUGUGCCCCAAAACAAUGAGAAAGCACUAUUAGAGGCUGUUGCAAAUCAACCUGUGAGUGUGGGAAUAUGUGGCAGUGAAAGAGCAUUUCAAUUGUACUCAAAGGGGAUUUUCACUGGCCCAUGUUCAACUUCUUUGGAUCAUGCUGUAUUGAUUGUAGGAUAUGGGUCAGAAAAUGGAGAAGAUUAUUGGAUUGUGAAAAACUCAUGGGGAAAAAACUGGGGAAUGAGUGGUUAUAUGCACAUGCUGCGAAACAGCGGAAAUUCUCAAGGUGUCUGUGGCAUCAACAUGCUGGCUUCAUAUCCAAAGAAGACCAGCCCAAAUCCACCUCCUCCAUCUCCACCAGGACCUACUAGAUGUGAUCUCUUUACUCGCUGUGGAGAAGGGGAAACUUGCUGCUGUACUCACCACAUUUUUGGAAUAUGCUUUACAUGGAAAUGUUGCGAACUUGAUUCUGCUGUUUGUUGCAAGGAUGGACGUCGUUGUUGCCCCCAUGAUUAUCCGGUUUGUGACACAACGAGGGACAUAUGCCUUAAGCAUCACAGUAAUGGCACGAGAAUGGAAAUAGUUGCAAAGAAAAGCUCCUCUGGGAAGUUUGGCAGUUGGAGUUCCCUUCUUGAAGGUUGGAUUCUGUAAAGCCAGCUUCAUUUGUACUACUGUAUUUUUUUUAUGUCAAGCUCCCUUAGAAUUCACAUGUUUCACCACUGAAGAAAAGACUAUUGGUAUAACUAUAAACUAAAUGGAGGGUUGGUUAGUAAAGAUUUCAUUGCAUUGUUGGAUGAAUUUAACAGGGGAAUCGGGGAACUGGGAGGCUUGUACUGUCCUGAUUCUGAAGUCCAUCAAGUAUUGAAAUCAGAAAAUUGAUUCGGGACUUUCAUUAGGCUAGAUAUAAGAUUGGUGUGAGCAUCUCUUUCAUUUGUAUGUGAAAUAUGCUUCUCACAAGCUGCAUAACAGCAAUUUUGUUU